rnacentral:rRNA from 1 species
UACGGAAGGCAGCAGUGGGGAAUAUUGCACAAUGGGCGCAAGCCUGAUGCGGCCAUGCCGCGUGUAUGAAGAAGGCCUUCGGGUUGUAAAGUACUUUCAGUCGUGAGGAAGGUGUUAAGGUUAAUAACCUUAGCAAUUGACGUUAGCGACAGAAGAAGCACCGGCUAACUCCGUGCCAGCAGCCGCGGUAAUACGGAGGGUGCGAGCGUUAAUCGGAAUUACUGGGCGUAAAGGGCACGCAGGCGGUUAAUUAAGUUGGAUGUGAAAUCCCCGGGCUUAACCUGGGAAUGGCAUUCAAGACUGGUUAGCUAGAGUCUUGUAGAGGGGGGUUAGAAUUCCAUGUGUAGCGGUGAAAUGCGUAGAGAUGUGGAGGAAUACCGGUGGCGAAGGCGGCCCCUGGACAAAGACUGACGCUCAUGUGCGAAAGCGUGGGGAGCAAACAGGGAUUAGAUAC